rnacentral:piRNA from 1 species
UGGGAGUGCCGGUCUAUUAGUGUGAGU